AUACGUAGGGGGCGAGCGUUGUCCGGAAUUAUUGGGCGUAAAGGGCGCGUAGGCGGCGGCUUAAGUCUGGAGUGAAAGUCCUGUGUUCAAGAUGGGAAUUGCUUUGGAUACUGGGGGGCUUGAGUGCAGGAGAGGUUAUCGGAAUUCCCGGUGUAGCGGUGAAAUGCGUAGAGAUUGGGAGGAACACCAGUGGCGAAGGCGACUUUCUGGACUGUAACUGACGCUGAGGCGCGAAAGUGUGGGGAGCAAACAGGAUUAGAUACCCUGGUAGUCCACACUGUAAACGAUGAAUGCUAGGUGUAGGGGGUAUCGACCCCUUCUGUGCCGCAGUCAACACAAUAAGCAUUCCGCCUGGGGAGUACGGCCGCAAGGUUGAAACUCAAAUGAAUUGACGGGG
rnacentral:rRNA from 1 species